GAAAAAUUAGUUAAAUUAUAACAUUAGUUUGUCAAACUAAAAUUAUUCAAAAAAUAUUUUUCU
rnacentral:tRNA from 1 species